rnacentral:rRNA from 1 species
CUACGGGAGAAAGCAGGGUAUCCCUAAACCUUGCGCUAUUAGAUGAGCCUAAUUCGGAUUACCUAGAUGGUGGGGUAAAGGCCUACCAUGGCGACAAUCUGUAGCUGGUCUGAGAGGAUGAUCAGCCACACCGGGACUGAGACACGGCCCGGACUCCUACGGGAGGCAGCAGUGGGGAAUAUUGGACAAUGGGGGGAACCCUGAUCCAGCCAUGCCGCGUGUGUGAAGAAGGCCUUUUGUUUUUAAAGCACUUUAACC